AGUCAACUCUCCUUGGAUGUGAAUUGAUUUCGAAUGAAGAUACAACGACCUUCAUAUGGUUUUUUAGGACAUAGCUAGAAUGUAUGCAUGGUAUAGCUCCAAGUGAAAUUAUUACGGAUCAAGAUUGAGCUAUGCAGAAUGCAAUUGAAAUUGUCUUUCCGAAUACAAGGCACAAAUGGUGUUUGUGGCACAUUUUGAAGAAAUUACCAGAGAAAUUUGGCAACCACAGACACAAAGCUUCUAUUCUUUCCAUGAUGCAUGGGUUGGUAUACAACGUACAGAGAUGUGAGGAAUUCGAGCAAGGUUGGAGUAGGAUGCUCGAAUAGUAUGAAUUAAUAGAAAAUGGUUGGUUAACUGGAUUGUACAAUGAGAGACGACGAUGGGUACCAUGUUUUUUGUAGGACAUCAUUUUGAGCCAACAUGUCAACAACUCAACGAAGUGAGAGCAUUAAUGCAUUUUUUAUGGUUAUGUUCAUUCCAAAAUAUCCCUUAAGCAGUUUGUCGAGCAGUACAAAUGUGCAUUGAAAAGUAAAGUGGAGAAGGAAUUUCAAUAAGUUCUAAAGAAGAAUCAUUCAAUGAGCUGGCACUUCCCUAGACAAAUUAUUUUCAAUCAAAUCAGUUGUCUUCUGAUUCUAUGAGCAUUAAAAAAAUUACAUACAGAAUAUAUAUAAACAAAUGAAUAACCCAAAACUAAGAGACAAUAUAAAAAUUGUUAGACAAAAUGCAAAUCAUUUCGAAAAAAGUUAAUGAGAGAGAUCGUAGCACUUGUUUUUUAUUAAGGCAAAAAAUGCAUAUAGAAUAUAUAUCAACACUACGAUAUACAAUAGCUUAUAGAUGUUUGGAAAUUCCACAUACAAUACAAUUGAUUUCGAGAAUUUCAGACGGUUUGGAAAAGUUGAGAUUGUAGCACUGACGGUUUGCAGAGACGACAGCAUCAAUGGGGUUUGGAAAUUUUCAGAUUCAAAUGGUUAUGUUCAGAUAAUGAGAGAGAGAGA
rnacentral:lncRNA from 1 species